GUAUCUCCAUUCUUUUAUUGUCAUAUAGCAUUUUCACAAUGACUGUAUGUAAUACUUUACCCAGAUCUCCCUCAGAUGAAAGAUACCUUGUUUCAUUUCUGGGAAUGCUAUUGAUGCACAGCCGUUAACUGCCAACGCCUUUAGGUAUUGCCUUGGCUGCACAGAGCUGCCUUGUCAGGGUACUGCCACUUUGUGGCAAAUGAUAUACAAUAUUCAAUGUGGCAGCGACAAGUCCUCAGUAUCUGGGGCCAACUUGACCACGUGAGAGCCUCCCAAGCAGCCUUGGGUAUCACAUCAUAGUUCAACUUCUUUACCACCUAAUCCCUUCCUCUUCUUCCCUCCAUAGACCGGAUCCAGAGCACCCCCUCAUAAACACCCUCCCUAAUCUAGAUUUGUCUGCAAUACUGCUAUGAAGCAGGUAUUUAAUAAAUGCGUAAUGACAAAUUUAAAUGCCAGGUACCAACAGUCAAAUAAGAAUAAGUUCCUGAAGGUAAUCACUCAGCAUUUUAUGUUUCCUGGAAGUGUCAUUACUUUGAAAGGAAAAUAAAAAGAAAAAAGAAAGUCAC
rnacentral:lncRNA from 1 species